rnacentral:lncRNA from 1 species
UAAUCAGGCAUUCAACAGUUGGCUGACAGUAGUUGCCUUCAGAGGAAAAUCAUUGAAAAGAAUGCACAUAUUAAAAACACAAACCCUACUGAAACUGGAAUUAAAUCUUAAGAAGCUAAAUAUUAGUUGAUUUCUUUUGUUCUCCUUACACAGCAGUAGCUAGAAAAUCAGUCUUAGCUCUGGGUUGCUUUGACAAAGGCAGAGAUAAUCCUUAUAGUUCUCUCAUUGUUAUUUUCCAUCUUGGGAUAUUAUUUUUACUCGCAGCUUUUGCAGAUCUCCACGAUGGUUAACAGAGUAAUUUAUUCCCAUUCCAUGGGUGCCUCCGGCCUCUCCUGCCACAGCAAGUCUAACCAGACCACAGAGAUUAACUGUGGAUUACAUUCAUGUGACUAGAGCACUCAUCCUCUCUUCGUGACUAUGAGUGUUCAAGCCGCAUUUUGGUGGAAAAGCAAUCCACAAAAACGUAGCUAGGUGCUUUCCCGGAAGGGGGCACUAGAAACGGGAGCAAAGCCUCACACUUUAAAUAUUACCAACAAUGCAAAUAAUCCCUUACCGAAAUAACCUGUUGUCAUUCCAGAUCAGGUUUUAUGGCAUGCUGAGUAAACAAGCGCAGAGCUCUCGGGCACGUGUUUUUAGCUUUAGAUGCGCUUUUACCAGUGUUAGUUUACCGGCAAACCCCUGAAAAUAACCCCCCCCUUUCGGCCGCCUCAGCGUCAGGAGGAAGGGGCGGCAGCUGGAGCGCCACCACCGCCCGGCCGCGGGGGAUCCCGCGGCGCGCAGCCACGCCGCGGGGGACAGCGGGCGCCGCGCGGCAGCCAGGCACUGGCGGGCCCGGCAGCGCCCCCGCGCCCCGCCCCGCCGAGUCCCCGUCCGGACCCCCCUUCCCUCACCACCACCGGGCGGCCACAGCUCCUCUUACCUUCCUCCAGCGGAGAAGGAGGGAGCGGGGGGGCGGCGGGCGGCCCGCUCCCCUCAGCCCGCGCCGCCGCGCCGGGAGGCGGAGGGCCCCGCCGGCGCGCGGCGCCGCUGCCGGCCAACGGCCAUCGCCCCCCGGCCGCCGCACCGGAACCGCGGCGCUUCCGGCAUGCGAGGGAACUGCUUCCGGCGCGCGCCCGUCUGUAUCCGAGGCGACGGUGAAGGCGGCGCGGGGGGCGGGUUGGCCGGCGGCCAUCUUGGCUCGGGCCCUCCGCCCCUCUGUGGACUCGUGGCCUCGCCCAAAAUGGCGGUGGGGGGCUGCGGCSGCGCCUCCGUUCUUUCACCCCUUCGCCCUCCUGUUGCCGCCGGCGCAGCCGUGUCUUGGUCUAGCCAACGCUGGCGCCUUCAUGCAGCCAUGGGCCGCUCCGCCUGGCGGAGAGGCCGGGUCUGGGCAGCGCGGCCGCGGCGAGGCCCGCAGUGCCUCUCCUUGCGCUCGCGAAGUGGAGAUGCUGCCAGCAAGGUGCACGUCGGCCGCUGGCUGCGUUAGCCAGGUGGUGAGGCCCCAGUUGAUGUAG